GAUGAACGCUGGCGGCGUGCCUAAUACAUGCAAGUCGAGCGAACAGACGAGGAGCUUGCUCCUCUGACGUUAGCGGCGGACGGGUGAGUAACACGUGGAUAACCUACCUAUAAGACUGGGAUAACUUCGGGAAACCGGAGCUAAUACCGGAUAAUAUAUUGAACCGCAUGGUUCAAUAGUGAAAGACGGUUUUGCUGUCACUUUAGAUGGAUCCGCGCCGCAUUAGCUAGUUGGUAAGGUAACGGCUUACCAAGGCGACGAUGCGUAGCCGACCUGAGAGGGUGAUCGGCCACCCUGGAACUGAGACACGGUCCAGACUCCUACGGUAGGCAGCAGUAGGGAAUCUUCCGCAAUGGGCGAAAGCCUGACGGAGCAACGCCGCGUGAGUGAUGAAGGUCUUCGGAUCGUAAAACUCUGUUAUUAGGGAAGAACAAAUGUGUAAGUAACUAUGCACGUCUUGACGGUACCUAAUCAGAAAGCCACGGCUAACUACGUG
rnacentral:rRNA from 1 species